rfam:Schistosoma margrebowiei strain Zambia genome assembly, scaffold: SMRZ_contig0000571
GUCCAGUUGACGAGUCCCAAAUAGGACGAAACACGCGUCAAACUGGAU